rnacentral:lncRNA from 1 species
CUGUUUUGGGGAAAACCUCAACAGCUAUAGACCACUAUUUUAUUCUCCUGUUACCCCCGCUCGACCCAGAUACACUCUUAUUACCUAAAAGGAAUUGUGAAGCAAAAGAGUGAGCACAACUAGCCUAGUAAAGAAUAUUAUGACUAAGAUAAUUAAAUUAUCAAUAGCCUUCGUCAGUAAUAAAUCAGAGAUUUAGAACAUAUGGUAGAUGAUAAAAACUUUUCAACCAUAGUUGUCGCGGAACGAACAAUCCAUUAGAAGAGUCAAGUAGAACAUAAUGUCUACUAUCUCCUCCAAAUUAAAAGUGCACCGUUAAUAUUUCAUUCCUGUAAUAAUCAUCAACAGUUCUUUGUUGCAUCCAAGACAAAGAAAACUUUCAUCACCUGUAUUCACCUGAACCACUAAAGAUUAUAGUUAAAUUCACAAUUCAUAUUUAUAAUCAUG